rnacentral:rRNA from 1 species
AUUGAACGCUGGCGGCAGGCCUAACACAUGCAAGUCGAACGAGUGGCGGACGGGUGAGUAAUGUCUGGGAACCUGCCUGAUGGCGGGGGAUAACUACUGGAAAGGGUAGCUAAUACCGCAUACCAUCAGAUGGGCCCACAUGGGAUUAGCUUGUUGGGGGGGUAACGGCUAACCAAGGCUACGAUCCCUAGCUGGUCUGAGAGGAGGACCAGCCACACUGGAACUGAGACACGGUCCAGACUCCUACGGGAGGCAGCAGUGGGGAAUAUUGGACAAUGGGCGCAAGCCUGAUGCAGCCAUGCCGCGUGUAUGAAGAAGGCCUUCGGGUUGUAAAGUACUUUCAGCGGGGAGGCGUUACCUGCAGAAGAAGCACCGGCUAACUCCGUGCCAGCAGCCGCGGUAAUUC